AAACUUACCUGGCGCCGGGACCAGGGUGAUCACGGACGCCCUGGCCCCAGGUGGAGGCUCGCCCUUGCACUCUGGCGGGUUGAAGCCUGCGACGAUCCCUAAUCGGGCUCGCUCGGGCGCGUAGUUUUUGCCAGUGGGGAGGUCUUCGGACCAUCCCUU
rfam:Syphacia muris strain Valencia genome assembly, scaffold: SMTV_contig0001295